rnacentral:rRNA from 1 species
UACGGAGGGUGCAAGCGUUAUCCGGAUUCACUGGGUUUAAAGGGUGUGUAGGCGGGCUAUUAAGUCAGUGGUGAAAUCUCCGGGCUCAACCCGGAAACUGCCAUUGAUACUAUUAGUCUUGAAUAUCGUUGAGGUAGGCGGAAUAUAUCAUGUAGCGGUGAAAUGCAUAGAUAUGAUAUAGAACACCGAUUGCGAAGGCAGCUUGCUAAAACGAUUAUUGACGCUGAGGCACGAAAGCGUGGGGAUCAAACAGG